rnacentral:tRNA from 1 species
GAGAGGUGGGCAUCGAACCCACACUUAAGAAAUCAAAAUUCUUAGUAAUCCNAUUUUACUACUCCCUAGUAU